GGGCCUGUUUCACCACUUUCUCAUAAAGUGCCGAAUAGGCUACUCACAAAUUUUUUGAGAGAUUCUCCAUUCUUUGAUCUGUCAAGUUAAUUGGUGGAUAGCCUAUUCGUCACUUAUCAGGAAGUGGUGAAACACAAGCUCAAAGAUACAU